AUAUCACAAACAAAAUUCUGG
rnacentral:miRNA from 1 species